UCCUUUGAAAACUCUAGAGAUAGAGCUUUCCCCUUCGGGGGACAAAGUGACAGGUGGUGCAUGGUUGUCGUCAGCUCGUGUCGUGAGAUGUUGGGUUAAGUCCCGCAACGAGCGCAACCCUUAAGCUUAGUUGCCAUCAUUAAGUUGGGCACUCUAGGUUGACUGCCGGUGACAAACCGGAGGAAGGUGGGGAUGACGUCAAAUCAUCAUGCCCCUUAUGAUUUGGGCUACACACGUGCUACAAUGGACAAUACAAAGGGCAGCUAAACCGCGAGGUCAUGCAAAUCCCAUAAAGUUGUUCUCAGUUCGGAUUGUAGUCUGCAACUCAACUACAUGAAGCUGGAAUCGCUAGUAAUCGUAGAUCAGCAUGCUACGGUGAAUACGUUCCCGGGUCUUGUACACACCGCCCGUCACACCACGAGAGUUUGUAACACCCGAAGCCGGUGGAGUAACCAUUUAUGGAGCUAGCCGUCGAAGGUGGGACAAAUGAUUGGGGUGAAGUCGUAACAAGGUAGCCGUAUCGGA
rnacentral:rRNA from 1 species